ACGUUUUCAGUCAAGUCAAGCCGGUUUUAGGCGGCUAUUGGGUGAACCGAACGCUUUUGCCUCGAAAAGGUUCGUGCCACCCGGUGGCAGCAAACGCGGCCCAGCAAACUUGAAGACAGUUUAAUGAACUUCAUGGCGCAAAAGAAGAAGCACUCCAAGCUCACGGACUUUUUUUCAUGUCAAAUAAAGGGCCGUGGUCGUUGCGCUGUGUUUCGUAUUUUCCGUGCUUUGGAGAACAAGUCGGUUACGAACUGCUUGUCACGAUCUCCGAAAGCUCUCAGUGAUGUGCGGAGUAUUCAGGGUGUCUACCAACCUGGGAAAGUCUGGGAAUUGGGGCCUUGCUGGAAAACUGGAGGAACUUUGGUAAAACCUGGCUAAUUCAUGAAACUGGUGGCAGUCUGUGGCACCAUCACAAAAAUAAGCAUUACCCUUGAUCAAUACUCAAAAAGUCACUCCUUGACUGCAACUACAGCGAACAGCUAGAAGAGGCCUAAAAAAAAGGCAAUGCAUAACUGUUUCUUCUUAGUGUACAAACAAAAGGAUACACCGACCAAAGUAACACAAAGUUUGUUGAUGUUUGGACACCUGAUAUUGUUCUGAAUGACAGCCAUAAGAAAGGUACAUCGUAUUUAAGUAUGACUAGGUGCGUGAUGUAAGCACCAAAAGUAUAUGGUCAGCGUUCCAUAAAUCUUAUUGAGGAUA